GCUACGAGUUGCCCGCGAAAACCGGAUUGUGUGCAAAAGCUAACCCGGUGGCCUCCACUUCGAAACUGGUGGUUGUUAAAGCGAGCGGGAAGGUGCCCUUGCUGUCACUGCCGCCUGAGACAGUACUCGGGCAACAUGUGGUCGCCUCUCGUGCUGUGUGUGGUUGUACUCCUGUCGGCUGCGUCCGCUGUCAAACAGGAGGCCGAAGUCCCACCACUGGGGGCGCGUUCGUACUCAGCCAUAGCGGCCCCCAUAAGAUGUUCUUCAGGCUCUACAAACGUCAAUGGGAACUGUAUCGAGACUAUCCAGCUACCAACGGUCAAGAACAGGUGAUGGAAUAGAGACCAAGAGAAGAGAAACACAUAAUAAUUGCAUGAAUUACUGUACCACCUUGUCUAUCAACAGCAUUAACCGAACAUCAUUUCACUGUAAAUUAAGCAAAAGAACAAAUAAUAAAUGACUACAAUUAAUGCAUAGAUAAA